rnacentral:rRNA from 1 species
GUCUAUGGCAGUACCACCCUGAAUGCGCUGGAUCUUGUCUGAUCUUGGAAGCUAAGAGGGUCGGGUCUGGUUAGUUCUUGGAUGUGAGAGUGCUUGAGAAUAUGGGGUGCUGUCGACU